rnacentral:lncRNA from 1 species
CAGGUUUUACCAGUUGGAAAAGAACUACUGUCUUGUAUUGCAUGUUAUAAACAAUUAGGUUCUUGCAAUGAAGGUCGAAGUGCAAUGGCGACCUUGCUAUCCCAUGUAAACUCCAGCGUUGAGGGGCUUAGAUCAGAAAGAGGGCAUGAAAAGAAUGGGAAUUAUAAUCUCGAUGAUUUUAAAUGGAAAAAGCAUCCUUUGCUGUGUUGCUGGAAAAAGUUGAUGCAAUCAAUUGAUUCAAGGGAUGGUUUCUCAGAUUUGGCUAUUGAGGCUGUUAAUGAAUUGGCUAUAGGUUCAUUGUGCUUUUGCAUGGAUGGUAAAAGGUGAGUCAACUAGUACGAGCUAAAUAAUCUGAUUGAUUACUCAAAACUGAUAGAGGCAGCUGCUGAAAGGACAUUUUUGUCCAAAAUACUUCACAAUUUAAGGCUUUUGCAUAUAAUAUAGAUUAUUUUGGCAUGUGAGACAAUCUUAUCUGCAUUUUCUCAUUUUAUAUAAACAGCAACUAUUUUUUGCUGACAAGUGAUAAUUGUUAUGAUGCCCAUUGAAGAUGGUUCACCUAAUGUAUCUUUCAAAAACAAAAAUUGUGAAGUUGUGAAGAUUGGCGUUUAUCAUAGUAGUGGUAUUUUUCACUUGGGGAUGAGAUAUUGAAAAAGGCUAGAUAAUACUGCAGAGAACCAAUCUGAGUUGGUGGAAUACUUGUUUCUUAGUUUCAUGUAAUUGCUACUUGUGGGAGAAAUUGAUUAGUAGUUUUUAUGUGUUUUAGAAGGCUACUAAAACCUUUCUGUCUAAGUGACCAUGUACUGCAAUUUGAACUCCAUUGUCAAUAUGAUAUGGGAGAGGCACUUACCUUAAGGUUUUAUUGGAGAAAUUGAGAAAUAACAAUUUUAAGUGGAGAUGGCUAAAAUUUUCUUAUUGGUUAUUUGACUUAUUGUAAUUUAAUUUUUGGUUAUUCCUUACUUAGUAACUGUAACAACGAAUGCUCCUAUUUUCCAGGUUUUACCAGUUGGAAAAGAACUACUGUCUUGUAUUGCAUGUUAUAAACAAUUAGGUUCUUGCAAUGAAGGUCGAAGUGCAAUGGCGACCUUGCUAUCCCAUGUAAACUCCAGCGUUGAGGGGCUUAGAUCAGAAAGAGGGCAUGAAAAGAAUGGGAAUUAUAAUCUCGAUGAUUUUAAAUGGAAAAAGCAUCCUUUGCUGUGUUGCUGGAAAAAGUUGAUGCAAUCAAUUGAUUCAAGGGAUGGUUUCUCAGAUUUGGCUAUUGAGGCUGUUAAUGAAUUGGCUAUAGGUUCAUUGUGCUUUUGCAUGGAUGGUAAAAGGUGAGUCAACUAGUACGA